rnacentral:rRNA from 1 species
AUUGAACGCUAGCGGGAUGCCUUACACAUGCAAGUCGAACGGCGUGGCGAACGGGUGAGUAAUGUAUCGGAACGUGCCCAGUAGCGGGGGCUAAAUACGCGAAAGCGUAGCUAAUACCGCAUACUAUUGGAGCGGCCGAUAACGGAUUAGCUAGUUGGUGGGGUAACGGCUCACCAGGGCGACGCUCCGUAGCUGGGUUGGGAGGCCGACCGGCCACACUGGGAGUGAGACGCGGCCCAGACUCCUACGGGAGGCAGCAGUGGGGAAGUAUGGACAAUGGGGGAAACCCUGCUCCAGCCAUCCCGCGUGUGCGAUGAAGGCCUUCGGGUUGUAAAGCACUUUUGGCAGGAAAGCGGGACCUGCAGAAUAAGCACCGGCUAACUACGUGCCAGCCGCCGCGGUAAUAC